rnacentral:tRNA from 1 species
UCGGGGUAUGGCGCAGCUUGGUAGCGCGCUUCGUUCGGGACGAAGAGGCCGUGGGUUCAAAUCCCGCUACCCCGACCAA